UAGAGUUUGAUCCUGGCUCAGGAUGAACGCUAGCGGCAGGCUUACACAUGCAAGUCGAGGGGCAGCGCGAGGUAGCAAUACCUUGGCGGCGACCGGCGCAAGGGUGCGUAACGCGUGAGCAAUCUGCCCGUAUCAGGGGGAUAAGCGAUGGAAACGUCGUCUAAUACCGCAUAACAACGAGGGAGGCAUCUUCCAUGUUUGAAAGAUUCGUCGGAUACGGAUGAGCUCGCGAGACAUUAGCUAGUCGGCGGGGUAACGGCCCACCGAGGCUACGAUGUCUAGGGGAACUGAGAGGUUGGUCCCCCACACUGGAACUGAGACACGGUCCAGACUCCUACGGGAGGCAGCAGUGAGGAAUAUUGGACAAUGGCCGGAAGGCUGAUCCAGCCAUGCCGCGUGAAGGAAGAACGUCCUAUGGAUUGUAAACUUUUUUUGUAUGGGAGCAAUAACGUCGUCGUGACGUCCGAUGAGAGUACCAUACGAAUAAGCAUGGGCUAACUCCGUGCCACAGCCGCGGGUAAUACGGAGGAUGCGAGCGUUAUCCGGAUUUAUUGGGGUUUAAAGGGUGCGUAGGCGGUUGUCAAGUCAGCGGGUGAACGCACGGGCUCAACCGUGACCUGCCGUGAACUGACGGACUG
rnacentral:rRNA from 1 species